AGAGUUUGAUCAUGGCUCAGAUUGAACGCUGGCGGCAUGCCUAACACAUGCAAGUCGAACGGAAACGAUGGGAGCUUGCUCCCAGGCGUCGAGUGGCGGACGGGUGAGUAACACAUAGGAAUCUGCCCAGUAGCGGGGGACAACUUGGGGAAACUCAAGCUAAUACCGCAUACGCCCUACGGGGGAAAGCGGGGGACCUUCGGGCCUCGCACUAUUGGAUGAGCCUAUGUCAGAUUAGCUUGAUGGUGGGGUAAUGGCCUACCAAGGCGACGAUCUGUAGCUGGUCUGAGAGGACGAUCAGCCACACUGGGACUGAGACACGGCCCAGACUCCUACGGGAGGCAGCAGUGGGGAAUAUUGCACAAUGGGCGAAAGCCUGAUGCAGCAAUGCCGCGUGUGUGAAGAAGGCCUGCGGGUUGUAAAGCACUUUCAGUGGGGAGGAAACAGUUGCGGGUUAAUAUCCCGCGACCUUGACGUUACCCACAGAAGAAGCACCGGCUAACUCUGUGCCAGCAGCCGCGGUAAUACAGAGGGUGCGAGCGUUAAUCGGAAUUACUGGGCGUAAAGCGCGCGUAGGCGGCUUGGUCAGUCGGAUGUGAAAGCCCCGGGCUUAACCUGGGAAUUGCAUUCGAUACUGCCUGGCUAGAAUGUAGUAGAGGGAGGUGGAAUUCCAGGUGUAGCGGUGAAAUGCGUAGAUAUCUGGAGGAACAUCAGUGGCGAAGGCGACUUCCUGGACUAACAUUGACGCUGAGGUGCGAAAGCGUGGGGGAGCAAACAGGAUUAGAUACCCUGGUAGUCCACGCCGUAAACGAUGUCAACUAGAUGUUGGGGGGUUUAACCCUUUAGUAUCGCAGCUAACGCAUUAAGUUGACCGCCUGGGGAGUACGGCCGCAAGGUUAAAACUCAAAGGAACUGACGGGGGCCCGCACAAGCGGUGGAGCAUGUGGUUUAAUUCGAUGCAACGCGAAGACCUUACCUGCCCUUGACAUUGACAGA
rnacentral:rRNA from 1 species